rnacentral:rRNA from 1 species
GUCUACCAUGCAAGUCGAGCGGAUGACGGGAGCUUGCUCCUUGAUUCAGCGGCGGACGGGUGAGUAAUGCCUAGGAAUCUGCCUGGUAGUGGGGGACAACGUUUCGAAAGGAACGCUAAUACCGCAUACGUCCUACGGGAGAAAGCAGGGGACCUUCGGGCCUUGCGCUAUCAGAUGAGCCUAGGUCGGAUUAGCUAGUUGGUGGGGUAAUGGCUCACCAAGGCGACGAUCCGUAACUGGUCUGAGAGGAUGAUCAGUCACACUGGAACUGAGACACGGUCCAGACUCCUACGGGAGGCAGCAGUGGGGAAUAUUGGACAAUGGGCGAAAGCCUGAUCCAGCCAUGCCGCGUGUGUGAAGAAGGUCUUCGGAUUGUAAAGCACUUUAAGUUGGGAGGAAGGGCAGUAAGUUAAUACCUUGCUGUUUUGACGUUACCGACAGAAUAAGCACCGGCUAACUCUGUGCCAGACC